rfam:Anopheles merus strain MAF unplaced genomic scaffold supercont2.4, whole genome shotgun sequence.
UAUAUGAUGAACAUUCAAUUGGUCCGUGUUUAUGACUUUGUUUGAUUAUUUUACUUAUCCAAUCUUCUGAUAUAU